GACCUUUAACCCAGUGGUCCCUUUGUGGGCUGGGCUUUAGCCAGGCAUCAAGGAGCCAGGACUUGGAUAGCAAGCAGUUUCUACAGCUGUCACUUCCUUCAGCUCCAUUUGGAGGGAUCUCCAACCAAAGGCCUGAAAGAGUUGUGGAGGAUGUUGCUUCACUGGU